rnacentral:ncRNA from 1 species
GAAUUAGCCAGCGGUUGGCUAGUCACUGACGAUAAUUGGAGCGUUUGGUUUUCGUCAGUGUGAUUGCUACA